rnacentral:rRNA from 1 species
GACGAACGCUGGCGGCGCGCUUAACACAUGCAAGUCGAGCGAGAACCAGACCUUCGGGUCUGGGGACAGCGGCGAACGGGUGAGUAACACGUGGGUAAUCAACCCUCGGUACUGGGAUAGCCCGGGGAAACCCGGAUUAAUACCGGAUGGCCCUUCGGAUCUUCGGUUCUGAAGGAAAAGGUAGCUUCGGCCUCCGACCGAGGACGAGCCCGCGGCGGAUUAGCUUGUUGGUGGGGUAACGGCCUACCAAGGCGGCGAUCCGUAGCUGGUCUGAGAGGACGAGCAGCCACACUGGGACUGAGACACGGCCCAGACUCCUACGGGAGGCAGCAGUGGGGAAUCUUGCGCUAAUGCGGGAAACCGUUACGCAGCGACGCCGCGAGAGGGAAGAAGGCCUUCGGGUUGUAAACCUCGUUCAGGAGGGACGAAGCUACUCGGGUUAAUAGCCCAGAGGGUGACGGUACCUCCAGAAGAAGCCCCGGCUAACUACGUGCCAGCCGCCGCAGUAACAC